rnacentral:tRNA from 1 species
GCUCAGUUGGUUAAACAUCUAACUCUUGAUCUCAGCUCAGGUCUUGAUCUCAGGGUUGUGAGUUCAAGCCCCACACUGAGCU